rnacentral:lncRNA from 1 species
AAUAAAAGAAAUUAUCAGAUCAUCACAAGUUCAUAGUCUUGAUCGACCUUUUCCGGUUGACAUGUAAUUGAAUUUUUUAAUUUCCAAGAAAAUAAAUAGCAUUCAAUUAUAUGUCAUAUUGAGAUUAAUUGAAAUCAUGGUGAUCUUGAUCAUGUAAUAAUUUGUCAUACCUUUAGUCUUGUGACUGUCUUGUAAGCCACUAACUUUCUGUUUGCCUUUGUCCGCAGGCAAUUCAACUUUUUCAAAAUCUGUUUAUCAACUUGCUUCAAUAAAAUCCAUCCACAUAGUCAAAAUCAUACGAUCAUAAAUAGCUCAACUACAUGCAUAGAACAAACUGGGCUCUUGAAGAAUGACUUUUGGACGUGUGUGAAUGGGGACCUGGGGACGAGAAGAUGUAGAGAGAGAGAGAGAAUAAAUUAGGUAAAAAUAAAAGAGGCCCAUAUCAAAAGAAAGAAAGGACGAGAUCUUAUUAUUGGCGAAAAUUGUGAACACGAUCGAUCGAUCAUAGGAUUUACUAUAACUCGAGUACUUGACCAUGAAUGAAGGCCACGCCAUGUUUUGAUUUGUCGUGACAUUUUGUCAUCAUCUAAGUGUGUUUGUGUCGAGAGAGAAAGCACUUUAAGCGUCAUCGAUUAUUUGAUUUGAGUGUGUGGGAGACUAAGAAGAGAAGAGAGGAAAGCAAGUAGCUAGCUAGCAUUAAAGUUGUCAUCUUUCGAGUACUUUGAUAUGGGGAUGGAUCGGAACAUUGAUGUGUUAUUCUCUCUUUUGGGAGGCUUUUGGAUGUGGAAUAGUUUGGAUGACAGACAGAGAAAUCUCCAAAAGAGAUUUG